GGACUACCAGGGUUUCUAAUCCUGUUUGCUCCCCACGCUUUCGCGUCUCAGCGUCAGUCACUGUCCAGAAGGCCGCCUUCGCCACCGGUGUUCCGCUUGAUAUCUACGAAUUUCACCUCUACACCAAGCAUUCCACCUUCCUCUCCAGGACUCUAGCCAUCCAGUUUCGAGUGCACUUCCACGGUUGAGCCGUGGGAUUUCACGCCCGACUUAGAUGGCCGCCUACACGCGCUUUACGCCCAGUAAUUCCGAACAACGUUUGCACCCUCUGUCUUACCGCGGCGGCUGGCAC
rnacentral:rRNA from 1 species